rnacentral:rRNA from 1 species
CCCCUAGAUGUUCUGGGCCGCACGCGCGCUACACUGAACAGUUCAACAAGUCUUAACCUUGGCCGAUAGGUCUGGGUAAUCUUUGAACGCUGUUCGUGAUUGGGAUAGACCUUUGCAAUUAUGGGUCUUCAACGAGGAAUUCCUAGUAAACGCAAGUCAUCAGCUUGCAUUGAUUACGUCCCUGCCCUUUGUACACACCGCCCGUCGCACCUACCGAUUGAAUGGUCCGGUGAAAUCUCGGGACGGCGGCUCGGUCACUUGCGUCCGACUGCUGAAACUUGAUUAAACCAUAUCAUUUAGAGGAAGGUGAAGUCGUANCA